GCUUAUCCUGACCUUUUCUUUUCAACCCUCCUCCAAUUAUCAUGCUUCAUUCAUUUACAGUCAUGCUCUUAUUUGUCAACAAUGCAACAAAUUCAAACAUAUAUCUCUAUAUACUAAAACCCAACCAGGGUGGUACUGUGGAUGACCAGUGUGAUGACCGUUUUGCCCCCUCGGUUUAUCAUUGCUUUCCUCCUUUGUGGCCAGCUUUGUACAGUGAGAUUAUGGUUUUGCCCAUUAGAUGCACGUGCCGACCAUCGCUGUGCGACGCCUGCUAUCCACUUUUCUUCACACUUUUUCCCUUCUGUUUCAAUUUUUCCCCACGCGUCGAUCAUCGCUGGACCUUCUUUCGACUUCUUCUCUGCUUUCGCUUCUCUUUGUCUCUCUCGCCAUUCUCGGUUGCUGCUAUUCUAAACUCUAGCUUUCUGUCUCCAAAACGCCGAUUUUUCUCCCCCUCCAACCUUCCAUCUUUCUCUCAGGAAUUAUCAACAACGGUGCAAUUAGAUCCAAUUCAAUUUUUUUACCCUAAAAGUUGGCGUUUCCUGGUGAAUUUUACGGCUUUCUCAGUGCUCGUAUCCUCCUACUGUUCUUCUUCACCCAAACCAGCGGCCCCACCUUUGAUUGAUACCGACGGAAACACCACGAAUUGAGGCGCAACACCAAUACUAACAAUUAUAAGAAAAGAGCUCCAAACCCGCAAAGGUUGUGUUUGUGCUGGGACAACAUUUUCCACCUUCUGUUUGCACUGGGAUGACUGCAUUUUAAAGCUGUUGUGGGUGAGAUUUACGAAAACAACAGUUAUCAAUCAGACUUGGAGCCCCAUGUUUGACCUUGCAAACGUAUUUGAAGUGUUGUUGCCACAACUUCUGCUGUAUCCCAAUCCCUCUGACCCUUUAAACGGAGAGGCUGCAGCUUUAAUGAUGCGUUUCCGAGCUACUUAUGAACAAGGAGUUAAAGGCAAAAGUUUUUAUGCAACCUCAUUACUUGCAGAAUUUGGUUUGGUCAACCUUUAAUGCCUUAUCGUCGGAAUAAGUUAAAGGUGGUACAAUAGUUCUAUCCGAUGAUGGUCGCUAUUUUUCAAAGGAUGCUGUGGAAAUUCAAGAUUGAAAACCGCUGGCUUUCCAUCUUUUUAAACAAGUUACCUUUGUAAGACCGCUAGGGGAGUUCUUGCUAUUGCUGAUGGUGUUUCUGGUUGGGCUGAACAGGAUGUGGAUCCUUCAUUGUUCCCCAAAGAAGUGAUGGCCAACGCCUCAAAUCUUGUGGGAGAUGAGGAUGUAGUUUCUCUCAAAACCAAGUACCACCUUCACUAUUGUUAAGUAGAAUUUCGAGCUUGUGUAAAUUUCGUGUUUGCUAUGAAACCCAAGGCACGUCCCAUAUAGCUAGGGGUGGUUCGGUAUGGGAUCUCAUACCGAAAUCCUAAUUCCGAUUCCCAAACCGAAAUUUUAGGGAAUCCCAAUUUCAAUACCGAUCCCAAACCAAAUUUUCGGAAAUCCCAAUUUUCGGGAAUCCUGAAAUAGUUUCGGAAUUUCGGAACAAAUCGGGAAUCUCGAAAUGGUUUUGGGCUUUUGACUAAAUUUGACAUAUCAUGCUUUUGGGCUAAAAUUCAACAUUUUAUAUUGAAAAUUUGGGCUUUUGGGCAGGUUGCCAAUCUGCGGCCCAAUCUGUUGUUAGACUAAAAUAUGCAAUAUGUGCAAUCUGUGCAAUCUGUUGCGGCCCAAUCUAUGCAAUUUGAAAUCUGAAUCUAUGCACAAUAGUCAAUAGCUAUGCAAUCUGAAAUCGGAAUCUGUGCACAAUAGUCAGUAGCUAUGUGAUCUGAUCUACCUAUUUAAUUUCUACCAAUAGCAUAUGUGAUCUACCUAUUCAAUUUCUACUACACAUGCAUGCAAUAAAAAUAAAUUAAGUAACAAAUCCAAAAGCAA